UACGGAGGGGGCUAGCGUUGUUCGGAAUUACUGGGCGUAAAGCGCACGUAGGCGGUUUUUUAAGUCAGAGGUGAAAGCCCGGAGCUCAACUCCGGAAUUGCCUUUGAGACUGGGAGACUUGAAUCCAGGAGAGGUGAGUGGAAUUCCUAGUGUAGCGGUGAAAUGCGCAGAUAUUAGGAAGAACACCGGUGGCGAAGGCGGCUCUCUGGAACGGUACUGACGCUGAGACGCGAAAGCGUGGGGAGCGAAAGGG
rnacentral:rRNA from 1 species